rnacentral:lncRNA from 15 species
AGAAGUGUCCCCACGUUUCUCUGCUUAGUGUUCACCGUUUUCAUCCUUUCUAAGUUAGGCUGCCGGUAUUUAGAUAGGGCUCUUUCUCUCUCUCAGUGCAAGCGGUUGGCCUAGAUACGCUGUUUCCCUGAGCUAGAUCAAAUGAAUGAUUUCUAAUUGUAUAUUGAAAAUAAAAUUUUGUACAAGUAAUAUUCAUACUGGUUUAAAUAAACAAGUAUUUCCCAUCUUUGCUGGGCAAAGGAAUUAAAGUCCUGUCCCGUAUAAACGCCUGUCCAAAAUAUGCAGGUUGAGUUCAGCCAUAGAAGCAAAUAAAAGCCUGGGCUAUUAAUUGAGGUUUUACAGUAUAUUAUAUAUACAUGCUAGACUUAACUACAUACGUUCAAUCAAUAAAUCCAAUCUUAAUGUAUUCACGGUGAAAAGGGAUGACAUUAAAUAUUUAAAAGUAAAUGACUGAAAAGAAAAUUAGCAAAAACCUCAAAGUGAUCAACUUUCCCAAAGUUUUAACUGCUGUGUUUGUUUGAUCUGUUAAUCAAUUCAAGACUUCAUCAGUGUUGUGAAGCAGCAGUUGCAGCAGCAUGAGAUGAGUGAUAGUGAGGCAGGCUGUUAAUAAAUAUGCAGUGUUACUGAGAAUGAGGCCAAAACAAACAUUUUACUCAUGUUUAAUUUAUUUCUUAUUAUCUAAGAGACAGUUGUGGGUUUCAUAAUGUACAAGUCAGUAAUGGUUUAAUUCCGCAGCCUUUAGUUGAAUCAGUACUGAUUUGACUUGGACUCAAGUCACAAAAUAUUUGACUUGAGUGUGACACAAGUCCAUAUAGCAGCAGCUUGAGUCUUUAAAGGAUUACAACCAGUUUUUUUGAAUAUUGCCUCAUAUUGACCAGUCUUGCAAAAACUUGGCAAAUCCUUUUAACUGGUGUGUGUGUGUUGGAACGGUGGAAUGUUUUUUUGGUGCUUCGGGGUUGUUGUUGGCUAAUGUGUUUGAAUGUUUUACUACCAGAAUGUUCUGUCCUUCCUUUUUGUUUGUCAUCGUGUAACACUACACAACUCGUGGUCCCUCUCACUCCCUGGAUCCUGUCUCUGCUCCCUCGGUGUCCUUGUUCGCUCCUCCUUGUCCUAUCUGGCUCUCUCAGGUUCAGGCCCAGAAACUCGGUCCCAGCCCCCGGUCAGGGCUCGGCCUGCACCAGAGCAACAACUGGCCCUGAAGGGUGAGGAGGGACGUGAGCUGCGUGUGGUGGUGAACACCAACGACCCGGACUACGAGCACAUCUACUCCAUCGAGGCCUAUGACGACCCCAUGGACGAGAUGCUCUACUUCACUCCAUCUGCCAACCAGAGUGGUGGUACUGUAUUUCAUACUGUGACCAAUGCUAUCAUGCAGAGAGGAAGCAUUUCCACACUCUGAGUAUCACCUCAAACAGGCCAGUCUUGCAUGAAAUUGAGCACAUUGUCUUAAAAAAAACGGUACGUGUGCCGUGAUGAAAGUGAAAGAAGUGUGUUUCCCCCAAACAAACUUGUGUUGACAUUCACUGUUCCUCCCCCUAAAGACUCUUUGUGUGAAUUGUUAACUUAAUUAUUGUUGUGCUCGAGCAGAACUACUUUGUAUGACGCAUUGUUGGACAGUGUUGUAAAUGAAACGUGUUUAUAUCAGUUCAGAACAGCCGCACUGGAAGAAGGAGCGGAAAGUCAGCCGUUAGAUAGAGAGGGGAGAGAAGGCAUUCAAAGCAUUGUUGUUCACAUGAACAACCUAGUACAUAAAUAGUUGUGCAACAAAUGGGAAAAGGCUGGAAAGAUACAGUCUCCUUUCAGAAAGGUACAAUGGUUGGACACAGCACCCCCAAAUUGCUGAUAAAAGAUGGGACGAUCCAACAAGCAGUUCUGAAAAAGAAUAUGUGCAGCUUAAGGCCCAACAAAUAACAGUUGCAAAGCUGAUUUUUAGAAUAAUCUGACAUUUUUAUAUAUUUACAUCCAUGUUCGCUUGCUAGCAGUCUUCCUCUUUCUUGCCUUUUUGGCACAUUGCUAUAUUUUGUGGCAGGUCAGUGGAAUCAUAAACAAAUCGGCAGGACUGUUUAUUAACUUCCCAGGGUAACUUUUUAAUUAAAUAUAAUUCAAACUAAGCAGAAGUUUGGGUUAUGUAGUUCUGAGAGGCAGAUGGGUAUACUAAACAACUUGGGCAUUACUCCCUUGUUUUUGUCCAUUAUAACUUUAUGCUAUUUAUGGGUUUUCCAAAUCUCUACAAUGGAGGUAGUGAUUAUAAUGACAAAAUUAUUACGACCAAAAAUCACAUCAUGGGCGAAAAAUAUAAGAAUAAGAAACAGGUUGUCAAAUAUUGGGAUUCCCCUUUAAUUUAAUUAUUUUAGUCACCUAACAAUGACCUCAACAUUAACCAAAUUCGUUUAUAUGCUACAAACCCAUCAUGUGAUAAACAGAAGAUGGCGUUUCGAAUUUGUGCCCAUGUCCCAUAAUUUGGUUUAUUCAAUCACACAUAAUCCAAUUUGUGCUGGAGGAGCGUGGCACAUUAUGUAUGCAUUUUCACUUUUCACUUUUCAUGACAUUAUGAGACAGUGUUGGCCUUGCAUAUUUUCUCACACAGCCUGCUACGAGCACACACCACCCUGUGUCUGUGAACUUUCAUACAUCUUUAAACCCCUGCAAUCACAUGAAUGUAUUUUGCUCUUCAUACUGAAUGUGUUUAUGCUGUGUGCGUGUGCCUGUGUGUGCCUGUGUGUUUAUCUGUGUAUGUUUUGUGUUUCUGUGUGUGUUGCCAGGUGAGGCUGUCAAAGAUGAAACUGAAAAAACAGUGAGAGUUGAACCAAACAAAUCAGCCAGUGCUGACGUUAAGAAAACAGCAAAGGUUGCUGGUCAGAAAGCAGUGAAAGUUACACCUCUGAAAGCAGUCAAGUCCAGUACAGUCAGGUCCAAGAGGAGAGUCACAGGGGAAGGUAAACUAGCUCAUGUGCUGUUGUCCUGUUUUGGGAUUUAUUAAGGUUUCAUUCUGCCUGCCUGGUGUUUGGCCCUGUCUGCAUGUCUCAGACUGCAUUGCAAUAUAUUGAAAUAAGCAGAAUGGUUUUGAGU